rnacentral:lncRNA from 1 species
CCAUCUAUCUCAUCCCCUACCCUAUAACUCUAUACCAAGGAUGUUGCUAAUGUUUAUGCAAACACAUUAAACUUGGACAAGUGCAUCUUCAAUUAAUACAUCAAGAGGCUUUGGUAGUUUGGUUUCUCGUUUAUUUUGUUCUCGAUGAGAUCACAGUGGCUAGCAAAGUAAUUCUUCCUCCUCCAUGAUGGCCUCUCCUUUGGUGAACUCGUUCUAAUGACGAGUUUAGUUCUUU